rfam:Picea glauca, whole genome shotgun sequence.
CUCUAGGAUCUUCUAAGAUCCACAAAACUCUUCUGAGAUAUCUAACU